UCUUUUUUUGGGGGUUUGUGGGGGUAUUUGAGAGUUCUUCCUGGCCUUUGAGGGGUUUUGACCGAAAGUUUCAGUUCUUGGGGGUCUUUUUCCAUUUCAAUUUGGUGGGAAAUCCCUCCAAGUUCAACAACCUGCAAAAAAACCUACAAUUUGCCGAUUCACGUGCUCAUAUCCCCUGGGUGUUGAUUGUCAAAACCUCCUCUUUCAGCGUGGGAUCGGAUAUCAAUUAUUUCAAACAAAUGAUCCUUUUUUCUUGAGAAGCUUGUUGGUUUUGUGUUUUUUGACUGCCACUCAUGGCACACCGAGUAUAGAAGCAGCCUGCAUAUUUGGAAACAUAUUGUUGAAUCAUGGAGUGCAAUAAAGACGAGGCCCUUCGAGCGAAAACCAUUGCUGAGGGGAAGCUAGAGAACAAGGACUUCACUGGUGCUAAGAAAUUUGCUUUGAAAGCUCAAAGUCUAUACCCUGGACUUGAUGGUCUUUCCCAAAUGUUGACAACCAUUGAUGUUUAUAUCUCUGCUGAAAACAAGAUUAGCGGAGAAGUUGAUUGGUAUGGUGUACUUGGAGUAAAUCCCUCUGCUGAUGAUGAAACAGUAAGGAAGCAGUAUAGGAAAUUGGCUCUCCUGCUUCACCCUGAUAAAAAUAGAUCUGUUGGUGCCGAUGGUGCCUUUAAACUUCUUUGUGAGGCCUGGAGCUUGUUAUCUGACAAGUCUAAGAGGUUAGCAUACAACAUGAGGAGGUCUCCAAAAGGAUUUCAGCAAAAAGUUCCAACUCAGACUAGUGGUCCAUCUGAACCUCCACGAUCAAAUGGUUACCACAAUCACUCAGGCAGGACAACUUCAGCUCCCAAGACACAGAACACUAGGAGAACUGAUACUUUUUGGACUAUUUGUCAUCGGUGCAAGAUGCAUUAUGAAUAUCUUAAACAAUAUCUCAACCACACUCUUCUUUGUCCAAACUGUCAUGAGGCUUUUUAUGCAUCAGAGACUGCUCCACCCUUCAAUUAUUCCAAGUCGUCGAACUUGGCUUCAAGGCAUCGGCAUCAAAAUUCAAGUAAUCAUGCACCUACUAGUAAUUUAUUUGAUCCAAAAAGAAAUGCUACUGCUUCUGCUAAGGAUUCAGGACCUGGACCAGCAGGGUUUCAUUCAUCGACUUAUACAGGUAACUUCCCCCAGGAUAGAUUUUCUAGGACUGGUAGUGUUGGCAGCACAGAUCCUUCAAUUGCAGCAAAGGCAGCCAAUGUCAUUCAGCAGGCACAGGAGAGAAUGAAGAGAGAGCGUGAUGCAUCACAGGCUGCUGCUGCAGGGUGGGACGGAAAUUCCAGCUACAAUUCUGCUUUUGAUGGAGAGAGGGUUUACAAAAAGACACGACUAGAUGAUGAUGGUUAUUGUUAUGGAGCAAACACGGCAUAUCACCGAACCACAGUAAAUGGUGGUUCCAGUUUUGCUGGUACAUCAGCACCAAGAAAAGCUGGAUUUGAACAUGAUAAGCUUCAUGGUUUUUCUUUUGCUUACAGUAAGCCCAACUGCAUGAGAGAACUGACUCCAGUUGAAAACAGGAACAUGCUAAUGGCAAAGGCACGCAAGGAGAUAUUAAAGAAACUAACUGAAUGGAGAUCACAGAAUGCAAGCAAAGCUGUCCAGACAGAGAAAAUGAAGGCGACAGAUACAAAGAAAGAAAAAGAAAGAAACUCCAGGAAUGAUCAUGGUCGUGAUCUAAAUGGGUCUGGUGAGUCUUCUGCUACCCGACUGGCUGACCAUGCAGAGAAGAGUGCUGGUACCCCCACUGCUGGUGACGUUGAUGAAGAACAUGUUGUGGCAGAAGCAAUGAAUGUCCCAGAUCCUGAUUUUCAUGAUUUUGAUCAGGACAGGGCAGAGAGUUCCUUUGGAGAAAAUGAGGUUUGGGCUGCAUAUGAUGACGAUGAUGGCAUGCCUCGUUUCUAUGCUAUGGUUAAUAAGGUGAUAUCAAGGAAUCCAUUUAAGCUGAGAAUUAGCUGGCUUAACUCUAAAACCAGUAACGAAUUUGGUAAAAUGGACUGGAUUGGUUCUGGUUUCUAUAAAACAUGUGGGGAGUUCAGACUUGGUAGAUAUGAAAUCAACAAGUCCAUCAAUUCAUUUUCCCACAAGGUUAAGUGGUCAAAAGUACGUGGCGUUGUUCACAUAUUUCCCAAAAAGGGAGAAGUUUGGGCACUGUAUAAAAAUUGGUCCCCUGAUUGGAACGAGGAUACACCUGAGGAGUUGAUACACAAGUAUGACAUGAUGGUAGUGCUUGUUGACUACGAUGAGGAACGAGGUGUGUCUGUUGCCCCUCUAGUCAAGGUUGCUGGUUUCAAGACGGUAUUUCUUCCAAAUUUGGAGCCAGAAAAGGUAAUGAAAAUACCUAAAGAGGAGAUGUUUCGGUUCUCUCAUCAGGUCCCAAAUUACCAGCUUACAGGUAAAGAAGCUCAAAACGCCCCUGAGGGUUGCCUGGAGCUGGACCCUGCGGCUACCCCAUUGGAUCUUCUUCAGGUUAUAACUGAUGACUCUGAGGUUCAGAAACAGGUCAUGCAGAAUGUUCCAGGCACUAGGGCAGAUGAAAUUGCUGACAGGGCUUCUGAAGCUGAAAAAGAAGAGAAGGUAGAGAUUGGGGAAGCUGUGAAGAAAGAAGAGUAAGAAGAAAGGAGCCGACCAGAGCAACAAAGAUUGUCCCAGAUUUUGUUUAAGGGCUAUGCAGCAUGUGGGGAUUGCUGCAAUUAUGUCCAGUCUGGUUAUAAAUGAUAAUUAGACCAUAGCAAUGGGAUUGACGUUUUGUGUAGGUCGCUGAAGCAGCAUACUACUAAAUAUUGAUGCUCACGAUGCGAGGAGAACGAAAUACAAAUUUAUUCUACCUGCGUUAGAAUUUCUGAGAGCCGGGACUCACGGGGAUUAUCCUUCCCAUCGUCAAGUUGAGUCUAACACCAUUUUUUUGACAGAAAAGUGAAUUCACUCAACCAGUGAUAUUGAGUUCCCAUCAGGUCAUAGGGUAAUUACUCACUGUAGCAUAUGCCUUUUGCAGAUGUGUCUAUACUUUUUGUUUUGUUUUUUUUCCUUUUGUAAUUCGUUACUGGAUCUAUCCUUAGAAAAUUCAGAAGAUUUUACUUCCCGACUACUACAAGAACUGGGACCAAGAUUCGUUCUUCUGCUGUUUAAACCCUUUUCUCCUACUAGGGUGCAGGUUCCGUCUGCUUCGUUCGUUCACCACCUGUGCACUUUUCUACCUUGCUCAGCAAAGACGCAUACGUUGUAAGAAUUCAUCCAUUCCCAGCACAUAUUUCAUACUUGAGAAUGCUCUUUUGCUCUUUCUGCAUUGAAA